rnacentral:tRNA from 1 species
GCGAUUGUAGGUCAGUGGUAGACUGCGGCCUUGCCAAGGCCGUGACCCGGGUUCAAGUCCCGGCAUUCGCA